rnacentral:rRNA from 1 species
UACGUAAGUGGCGAGCGUUAUCCGGAAUUACUGGGCGUAAAGCGUGCGUAGGCGGUUUAGUGUGUGGGAAUUGAAAGCCCGGGGCUCAACUCCGGAUCCGGUUCCCAAACUGCUAGACUCGAGCGUAUCAGAGGAGAGCGGAAUUCCCGGUGUAGCGGUAAUAUGCGUAGAUAUCGGGAGGAACACCAGUGGCGAAGGCGGCUCUCUGGGGUACUGCUGACGCUGAGGCACGAAAGCCAGGGGAGCGAACGGG